ACAGAUCUGUCUUCCCCUUCCAUGUUGGCUGUGAUCUGGGAAACAGACGUUCCCGGCCUCUCUGAGAUUCAGAGAUUUGGGAGCCAUGCAGAGAGGGAUGCACACAGGCCGCCUUCAGGAUUUGGAAAGAUUACAGAAAUACAUCCUCCCAACUCCCCGACCCUGGGACGCAGCUUCACCCACUAGCAGCCUGGAUCAGCCCUGGGACUCCCCUCCUGCCCCCACCCCACCCCAUCCACGAGGAGGACAACACCGGCUCCAAGACUGCAGGCCUGCAUACAUAUCUUUGUAUGGUAACAGAUGGUGAAGUAUGCCCUGAUGCAGACAUCAUUUUCCUUUACCCACCUUCUUUUAUUUUCUGAACUUCAUUCUAUCUUGAACCAGGUUGUGAAGUUUUACUAAAUUUUCCCUGCGAGAAAAUGAUUUUGAACUUGUC